rnacentral:snRNA from 1 species
UGCUCCUGUCUUGUGAUCAUACACGUAUAAAUCUUUCGCCUUUUACUAAAGAUUUCCGUGGCUGCGGGACAGAAAUGGAGCUAACCCCAAUUUUUUGUUCCCUCUCAUUCUCUUUUUCAUAAAAAGA